rnacentral:rRNA from 1 species
UACAGAGGUCCCAAGCGUUGUUCGGAUUCAUUGAGCGUAAAGGGUGCGUAGGUGGCGCCGUAAGUCAGGUGUGAAAUCUCGGGGCUUAACUCCGAAACUGCAUUUGAUACUGCGGUGCUUGAGGACUGGAGAGGAGACUGGAAUUUACGGUGUAGCGGUGAAAUGCGUAGAUAUCGUAAGGAAGACCAGUGGCGAAGGCGGGUCUCUGGACAGUUCCUGACACUGAGGCACGAAGGCCAGGGGAGCAAACGGG